rnacentral:lncRNA from 1 species
AAAAAAGGGCAGUUUUUAUAUGGCAUGUAAGCACUUGCUAGAUGACGAGUUACUGGGUGCAGCGCGCCAGCAUGGCACAUGUAUACAUAUGUAACUAACCUGCACAUUGUGCACAUGUACCCUAAAACUUAAAGUAUAAUAAUAAUUUUUUCAAAAGUGAAGGAAUGGAAAAGAUAUUUCAUGCAAAUAGAAACAAAAAGAAAGCAGUAGUUAUACUUAUUUUAGACA